UUUUCACUCUCUCUUCCUCCCCUCCCUUUCUCCAGCCGCCUCUCUCUCUCUCCCCAUUCUUGCUGGCGAGCCUCCCUUCUCCAUAGCCGUCGCUCCUCCUCCCCUCUCUCUCCUUGCCUGAAUCCCCUCUUUCUAUCCUCUUCUCCUUCUCGUCUUGCUCUUCCCUCUUUCUGACGAGGAAGCUGCUACGACCAGCAGCUGGACAGCAGUAGCAGCCAGGUGAGGCCAUGGCAAACAGCAGCUUCAACCGGCGACCCCUCUUUCCUCUCCUCGACUCCUCUUCUUCUCCAUCUCUUCCUCUCUUCCUUUCUUCUCCGCUUUCCUUUUCCCGUCACUGGCAGCACUCAGGCGAGCUGCCAGGCACCCGCGAAGGAAGACGGAUAGAAGCUCCAGCGCCAGCCGCCUCCCUCUCCCCUUCUCCCAUCACUCCUCUUCUUCUUCUCCCUUUCUCCGUCUCCUUUUGCAGCCAGAAAUUAGCGGGACAGCAGCCUGCUCUUCCUCUCUAUUUUCCAGCGAAUGCAACCGCUCAGACGUACCAGCAGCAGAUCAAAACCAGCAGCUCCAAUCAGCCCCAACAGUGACAGGUUUGGCCAUAUAUUCCGGCAAGAACGACAUCGAAAUCCGGCGAAACUCAAAGACGGAUCUUAACAGAUCCAUCCAGGCUUAGGUCCAUAACAUCAACAUCACGCAUAGAUAGGCUCCCAAUAUUUAUUUCAGCAGCAUCAGUGGUUUAGGUCCUCAACAACAAGAUAAGGAAAAUAUCGGUUCGCGAUCUCUAUUUCAACAGCAUUUGCGAUAAGUUUGAUAUUUCAGUUAUCAGUAAACUCACAGAUUUUUAACUAAGACAAUUUUGGGUAAUCGUUUAGCUUUUGCACACUAUGAAUAUUAUGUUGGAAACGAUUAAGUAUGCUUAUGAUAUGUUGGCAGCGUUUGCUUGGAGUCGUUCCUUGCCCGCAUACUGGGGGUAGCCUCGGGGCAUGCAUAUAUAUAUAUAUAUAUAUAUAUAUAUAUAUAUAUAUAUUCAAAAAUUUACUAUCACACCCCAACCCUAUAGUCCGGGCAUGACUCACAUCCUAAACCAUGAUAAAAACUGAACAACUACACGAAAGCUUUAAAACAUAUGAAUGUAUAAAUCAUUUAGAGAUAAUUUAUACAAAGGUGUGAAAUAAAACUGUAUAAUAAUGAUAAUUUUUAAACAUUUAUAUAUCAAAGGAUCAAUUUUCGCGUUAAUUUGUCUAUGAAAUAUCUAUUGAAACUAGGAUAGGUUUCGCGACAAAACCCACUGCUAUCUUUUGGCCCUAUAUAAACUCCAUAAAUGUUUAAGUCAGAGCAAGUGACAAGUUUUUACUGAAAACUAGUCUUAAUACAUUUUUAUCUUAUCAACCUUUAGUUUAUAAGAUGAGAAUUUGUAUUGAAACUUAAGUUUUGAUACACUUAGAUCUAAUCAAGGCUCAAAUUUAGAACAAUUUAAUUGUAGGCUUUAAGAAUCUGUUCCAUGUUGAUAUCUUUUGAAUGGGAUCAACUCCCGGUGACUCAAUUAAAAAAUAGUUAAAAGAAUUUUAAAAUGGUUAAAGAGGUAAAAGGGAAAAUGGAGUCGCCACCUUAUUUUUAGGAAAACUAGAAAAUCGAUUAUUUAAUUAACUUAAAAGGAAGUUUAUGAAACCAAUUGAUUCUAGGUAAGGGGUUCAAAUUAUUCAAAAGGGAAUGAGUUCCACACCCUUCGGAAUCCAUAAUUGUGGUUCUCGACUUGCUUAAUUUUUUCAAAUUGAGAGGAGACAAAAUUAAUAUACAAGUAUAAUAAACAUAUAAUAUACAUAGGAAAUAAAAUGAUAUAAUAUAAUAAAGGGCCUAAAGUUUGUAUAACGUAAACAUAUACAAAAUAAUGAAUGAAGAAUAUAAUUUGAACUUUUUUCGAAAAGCUUCAAUAGGAAGGAAUUCCGGAUACCUGUAAAGACAAUAAGUAAAAGUGUUAGUACUAAAUGAAUAUGAUUGUAAUAAAUUAAUCAAAUAAUACCUUUUAAAAUAAAAAAUUCAUAUUUAUUAACAUGAAAGGCCUUGAAAAUUGUUGGUAAUUUCUUAAUCGAUUAAUUUUAAAAAAAAAUUGUAAACAUAAAUUAAAUUUCAAUCUUUUAAAAUAGGGUCCAUUUAACAUGCAAUCUAAAAUUAUAGAAAAUCAAAAUGCAAUAAUUUAAAUAAAAUGCAACAACCAAAAUGAUAACAUACACAAAAUGGUAGUAAAAUUUUUAAUUAAAUAACAACAAAAAAUUUCUGGACAUUCUUAGAAUAAUAGGAAUUGAAACAAACCAAUAAUAAACAAUAAUGAAGGAAAAAAUGAAUAUUCAUAGAAAAGAAUAAAACAACCAACAAUACAACAAUACCAAUAAUAUUAAUUGAUAACUAUUAGCAUGAGGAAUCAACAAAAACAUAUAAUAACUUAACAAUAAGUUAAAAUAAUAAUAAAAGAAAUAGUAGCAACCAAAACAUAUUACUCAUUAAUGAAACGUUUUUAAAUUGUACACCAUACAUUCAACAAAAAUAGGAUUAAAUUCACCUAGCUAAUUGUACAAAGCUAGAAUUAAAAAUAAAAAAAACAAACACCAAACUGUACUAUACACUGCCUUAUUUUAUUUGAUAGUCAAAAACAUUAAUAGUAUAACUUUAAUAAAAAGAAUUAAAGCCAAACUAAAUUAAAGAUGCUGAUCUGAAAAUUUGAAAACUAACAAAAACUCAACCUCAACAUAACGAGCAAAGACGCGCUAUCAUCAAAAUUAAAAUAUUAAUAGUAACGCAGCACCACAGAAAUGAAAUACUAACAGUAACAGACCACCAUUAUUAUACAUGAAUGAACAAAGUAGAUCGGUAAGCAAAAAAAAAAGAAUAAAAGAAAUAUAAACAAAGAGAAGAUAGAUUUGUAUUAUCGUUUUGAGCUCACCGAAUUUAACGUUGAAGCAGCUGGUUAUUUACACGCCUAAAAAUUUCAUCCACCACCAUCUUAAACUAGUGAGCCAGUUAAUCUAUAUAUAUGAAAUUGUUUAAAAUGGACCUAUGUUAUGGGCUUGAGAAGGUGACACAAAAAUUAUUGGUUGAUUAAAUAUUUGUGUAUGCAAGUUUUAUUCUUAUUUGAAGUAAUUUUUAAACUUUGUAAAAUAUUAAAACGAAUAUUAACCGAUGUAUCGAAUAAAAUGAAUAUUGAAAAACGUAAUGAACGUAACUAAUGACAUAUGAAAAUUCUAUCUCACAAUUUACAAUAAAAUCAUAAAUUUUGAUAAAUAAAGAUAGUUAUCGAUAAACUUAUUUUAAAUUAUAUAAAAUUUUUCUGAACUAUUAAUAAAUAAUACUUAAAAUUUAUGAAUUUUGAAAAAAGUUAGACCAAAAUUGAAUGUCAACAUUUCAAAUGUAUGUGUUACUAUUUUACUAUGUAAAAGGACUCCCCGUGAAGAGAUUAGCUCUGCAGUGAAAUCUAGUUUAUUGUGCCCGAGUUCUUACACACACUACCAAAACCACAGAGGUUACAUUGUCAUUGCUAUAGUUUCACAUUAUAUAAGGCAAGAGAGUCUCAUUAGUUGUCAAAAUAUCAAGAGCCAUUUAAGUAAGAAAAGAAAGAUUCUUCUGCACUUUCACAUACACUGGCAAAAGUACAGAGGUUACAUAAGCAUAAAAAAUGUACAUAUUAGAUUAAUUAGAAUAAUGAUUAAAAACAAAUACAUAAAUAAUAUGAUCAAGUUUAUCAAGUACUUGAGGCAACCUCGAAGUUAGAAAUAAUAUAGAGAGGGCCAAACCAAUUAUCUUUCCUUUGGAAGUGGUACCUAAGAAAGUUUCACAAUAAAAAGACUAGCAUUAAAAUAAAACCAAGUCAGGUGAGGAACAACACACAAAGUUAAUCUCAAAACUAAUUUCAAAGAACUUCACGCUAACCUUUCAAAAACCUUCUACAAAAGGAUUGAGAAGAUGCAAGACCUUUAAGUUUCAUGAAACUACAAUAAAAAAGGAUGAAAAAUUUACAGAAGAUGGCAUUUCUCCUUCAUCAACUGCAAACAGUAGUUCACAAGAACCUAAUUUAUACUAAUACUAAUGUCCCUCGUAAGUUGAAGUUUCUUAUCAUGUUUUCACUAUGACCCUAAAGGAUGAACAAGAAAAGGUGAAGUAGGAAAAGGCUAAGCAUCAAGAAGAAUUUGGAUGUCCUCUCAAUCUCCCUUCCUUUAUGCAAGGUGAAGCAAAAAAUGAAUUUUUUGAGAUUGAAGGCGUGUACCAUGUUUGUUAUGACUUGCUAGAAAAAUUGGAGUUGUUUCUUAUAAAAAUGGAGAGCCAAAUGCAUUUGGUAAACAAAGAAAGAGGUGAUCCUAUUGCUAUAAGGGUUAAUUUGGAGGAAAUGUUUUGGUAGAAAUUGAGGCAAAGAAGAGUUGUGUUGUGCUUUCUGAUAGGUAGACUUUCAAAAAGGUCUAUAGAUUGUCAGUGUGUUCUUGAGAACAAGGAGGUAACAUAUAUUAAGAUAACAAAGCGUUUUUCCUUGAAGAUGCUUUGAGAAGGGACACACAAGAACGAGGAGUAUUAUGAGAUGCUCAUUUGCAGGUUCCUUUUGUUUAAAGAAUUAAUUGAGUACAUUAGACAUGCGAGUCCUCGAUCGCUAAAAAGCCAGUUAUUUAUGAAAUUUGAGAAUCAAUAAGCUAGGGGUCUUGUUUGUUUUCAUUCAUUCUUUUAUUACAAGAAUAAAUUUCCUUGUAGGGAUCUAGGAACCAUAUGUCCAUCUAACUCAUAUGAUUCUUUCAACAAAUGGGACAUACAAAUGAAAAUCAUUUAUAGCUCCUCAUUCUUGACUUUCCCUUCUCAAAGCAUCUUUUAGGAAAAUUGUUUUCUUAUAUUAACUGAGUUACCUCUAUGUGCAAAAUAAUCCACGGAUAAUCUCUAGACAUUUUUGACAGUCUGAAUAUCAAAAAGCAGAAUGCAACUCUUCUUCCCUCUCCUUCUCCUAAAAUCCUCCAAGCCCUUAUAUAGUUUUGUAAUGCAUCUUAAAUCCAUUAUAAUUCCGAGAUACUAAGACCAAUAAAGUACAAUGGGUUCACCUCUUUAUUUUUUAUCGCUAACUUUCCUGUUUAAUUAGACAUAACUCUAAUUUGUUCAAGUUACAAAAUAUAUGAUCCACACCUUCAAUCUAUAUUUUGUAAUUGUACACCUCAAGUCAUUUCCUUCUUACUUUUAAUCUUACCUUGCUUCAAUAAAGGAAAAACGAAUCUUGCAGCCUAAUUCCUUGACGACAUAUUGUAUACUUCACGGGAUGUAUAAAAUUGAUAAACUAAUUCACAUCACUACCUCAUAACACUAUAAACUAACCUGAUCAGAAACUCAUAUAACUUGUUUCAAACUCGUGAAAAAUGGAAAAUAUCAUGUACUUUUAACACAUUCCUAACAUCAUACCACUUAAUCAUUAAUGCUAAAUUACUACAAAAAAUAUAUACAGAGCAUCAUGAAAACAAACAAUUCCUCUGACAAAAUUAAAAAACUCUGAUAAUAUAGGAGCAUUGUCAAGACCCAACCCACUAGACUAUGUAAGCAGCUCUUUUAGCAUUUUCGUAGAUUGUUUAGUUUAUGCUUGUUCUUCUUUAUCAGAGGUUAGUUCCAUGCCUCCUUAGCUUCUGUAACUUUGCUGAUUUUAUGUACGUGGUGCUCAAUGAUAUAAAAGGUAUACAAGAAGAAGAAGAAAACCGGCAACACCCUAGAAAAUGUCCUUGGUCUGAUAUAAGCCUCUUUGUAGAUAGCCCAGCACCAUAAAUAUUAUAUGUAAACUGUUGUGCUAAAAAGGAAAUAACCUCUCGCAAGUUGGGGAAUUCAAAUUAAUGAUUAGUUUAUAGAUAAAGUCGGAAAAUACCCAAAAGAUAUUUAGAAAUUAAAACAAACACCUAAGUAAAUUAUAACAUUCACUAGUACAUAUACUCUCAUAAAUUAGAACAGAUUGAUUGCGGUGAUAAAUGCACAUCCCUUUAAUAUAUGUCCACAUAAUGUAAAAACUAAAAAUAAUAUAUUCUGGGAUUAAGGUGAAACAAUAAACUUAAAUGCAUCCAUUUAGAGAAUGACUAACCUUUCUUACAACCUUGUGGAAUCAUUGGAACUCAAAGACCAACAUAGAAUACUAUAUCUUCAAUGCUUGUUUAAAUUGAUUGACUAUUGCAGUCUACCUAUGGCUGCAUUGGAGGAUUCCCCAUUAUAAGAUGAACAAGUUUGAAAGUAGUCUCUAACUUAUUUCGUAUUUCCAAAAUAAAAUAUGAUUUAUUGGAUCCCAGAGUUACAUCUAAAACUAAAAAACUAACUAAAAUUAUUAGACACACGUUAACUCGUCUUCACUUAAAUCCUCAUUUCCACUUCGUAUAUAACUUUAUAAUCAUGUUUAUCAAGUACUUGAGUAAACCUUAAAGUUGACAUUGUAGAGAGGGACAAACCAAUUUUAUUCGUAUAGAAAGAGGUAACAUUGUCCACCUCAGAAAUUUUAACACAACGAAAGACAACAAUAACAUAAAACAUCAGGUGAAAAACACCACACAAUGUUGUUAUCAUAACUAAUUUCAAAAAGAAUAUCAAUUUUAACUUCCCCAAACCUUCUAGAAAAGGAUUGAAAAUAUGCAAGACCUCUAAGUUCCAUGAACCCACAAUAAAAAAGGAGAAAUAAUUUAUUGAUGAAGGCCUUGCUCUUUCAUUAAUUAUAAAAGGUGAUUACCAAGCGACUAAUUCUAAUACUAAUGUCUCUCAUAUGAUGAAGAUGUUUAUCAUGUUUCUCACAAUGACCCUAAAACAUGAAACUAGUAUAUCAGAGGAAUAUUUCCUAAUAUACAAUCACUCCUUUGUUACUGCGCCUCCUUCAAUAUUUAGCAAACAAGCUGCUCAUGGAUGUAUUUGUAAAUUUGUAGAUUCAUGUAAGACAUUUUUCACCAACCAUGUAACCGUAUAUACAUAGUGUGCUCCUAUUUAUUAGAAUUUAUAAGCUUUUGCUAGAGGUUGUAUGAUGUUAAGAAUAUUUAGGAUUGAAAGAUGCUUUUCAUUUGUUUUCCAUUUGAGAACACGAUAAUUGCAUGUUUUAGAAUAUAGUGUGCAAUCAACUCUGUUUAUGAGGUUAUUAGGUAUCCAUGAUUAUAUAAACUUUAUGUAGAGAAUAGCAGAAGAAAACUAUAAUCAGCAAGGUUGAUUUAGGAAGAGAAUGUAGCAUCAAGAAUGAGGCAAGACCAACCCAAAGUCUAAGUUUAAGUUACAGGGCUGGGAGGUAUGAGUUGAUCGGAUACUGGGAAGCUCGCGCAAUCCGUUCCUAUGAAUCAUUAUUCAGUCGAAGAUCGUUAUAUAUGAUUGGAAAACUCAAUUAAAGAAGAGUAAGCUAAAGAGGAGAAGAAAGAUUUCGGAUAAGAGAACUUUAUUGUAGGAUAAUACACUUUUGAUUUAGGUUGUUUUUGGGUUUCUCUUAGGUUGCAUACUGAUGUCUAAGUUCACCUCUAUGUUUACUAGUCUGAAUGGUUGUAGAUAUUACAACAUAUAGAUUAUUCCAUCUUUUACUACAAUAUCUACCUCUCUAAAAAAUCUAGUUAUUUCUUUAAGGCAACGUCUCUAAAAUAUAUAACAACUUCGAUAAUAUAGUUAUGUUUGGAUACAACAACAGAUUAUUCUAGAAAUUAUACUUGAAAAAGCAAUGAUAUUCCAAAAAUCAACUUUGUUGUUCUUCAUAGUUUAUGCAUCUCUUGAAGUGUGCAAUGUGCUAUUUAGAAGAGUUUUUUUGUCUACUUAUUUUCCCUUUGAAGUAAGGUAAUGGUGGAAUAUUAAAGGAAAGAUUUGAGAUUCACUAUUACAAAGAAAAGAUUGAAGGUGUGCAUUAUGUCUAAAAAAACUUGAAAGACAAAAGGCAGAUGUAACUUUAUGUACUCUAUUGGUUUUGGUAACAAGGAGAUAUAUAUGCAUUAAACUUUUUUUAAAUCUGAAGGAUAUAAGAAGAAAUUCAAACUCCGUAUAUAGGCAGUUUGCUCUUAUAUUCCUAUUUUUUUAGAUUGUAUGAGGGGUAGAGGGUGUUGCUGAUGCUUUGUAUAUAUUUUGGCAUAGUAGUUUAGCUUUGAUGAUGAAGGGGUGUAUCCAUGAUGUGAAGUUUGUGUUAAACUGAAGGUUUCUUUUCCUUUUUUUCAUGAGUUGGAAACGAAGUUAUCUCAUGAUUUGGAAUAGAGUUUGCAAUCAACUAAGUACAUAAAAUUAUUAGAGAGUGGUGUUCAUGAGUUUGUUAUGUUCAUGCAGCAUGUAAAGUGUGCAAUAAGACAUAGAGAAGCAUUGGGAAGUCUGUACAGUUUCCUUUUCUUGAUGAAAGAUGAAGUUGAAAGAUUUGAGAUUAAAGGCGUGCAUCAUGUUUUUUGUGUCUUGCUAGUAAAAUUGGAGCUGUGUCAAAAGGAACUGGAAAUACCGUUGGGUUUGGUUAACAAAGAAAGAGGUGAGCCUAUUGUGUGUUGUUGGUCGUAGUAUCUUUUAAUUUUAAAGGAGUUAGAAAGCAUUUCAAGGUUGUAUGAGGGUUUGCAGGAAAUGUUUUGGGACAAUUUGAGGCAAAGAAGAUUUGUGUUGUGCUUUCUUAUAGGUAAGCAUUCAAAAAUGUCUAAAUAAUAUCAUUGGAUUCUUGACCACAAGGAAGUUACACAUUUUAAGAUAAGGCAUCGUUUUUCCAUGAAGAUGCUUCGCGAAGGGAGGCAUAAGAAAGAAGGAGCUUUAUGAGAUGCUCAUUUGCAAGUUCCAUUUGUUCUUGUGCUUCCCUUCUCGAAGCAUCUUCUAGGAAAAACACGACCUUAUCUUAAAAUGUACUACAUCCUUGUUUUAAAAAUCCACUUAUAAUCUGUUGACCUUUUUUAAAGAGUAACUAUUACAAAGCACAAUUCAACUCCGGGCAACAAAUGCUGCUUUGAUAUUGUAGUUAUUAGUGAUUUUAGGGGCUUGAUACAUGUGAACUUAUAAUUAGUUUGAGGACACAGGUUUGGUCAAAAGUUUUCUUUAAAUGUAAUAAAAAACACAAAAUGGGAAGAGAAAACACUUGCCAAUUCUAUAUUAAUGUGUCGUGAGAGAUGUUUACUUUACUUUUAAUCCUUAUGACAUGCUGACAUCUUGGGUAUUCCAAGCAUUGGGUAGUGUCACUAUGUGAAGCAAGAUUGGCCUCCGCUUGGUUAAUUGAAUUCAACCUUGUAUAUGUCAAGAAGAUUAUCAAAUAUGCCCAUGUUAGAGGCUCAUACCAGAGCUGAGAAAGGUGUUAUGCUUUCCUUGUAGAAACUACUAUUUGAUGUUUUGCAUAAAAUGAUGUUCCAAUGAAAGCACAAGUGUAAUGAAGUGAAUGGAUCUCACCCUCAUGGAGUUUUUGAUUUCUCAAAUGCCCCAAAAUUUUUCCUAACUCAUCUAGUAUCACGUGCAUUGAAUUUUUAUGCAGGAUAAACAAUGUAUGUUCUUUGUUAUCGGUUGUGCUUGGAGUUUCUUUUGUAACACUUUUGUGUUUCUAUAAAAAUUUGGAAAAUUAAUCCACCAGGGAUGAUUUAGUGGUAGUGAACCAGGCAACUAUACAUGCUCUUCGGAGGAGGGAGUGGCGUAAAUGCACUACUUCAAAGGUUGAGGGCAUUACCUUUUAGCAAAGAUGGGGGAUUACAACACUUCAAGACAAUCAUGUGGAUUCAUGGAUGAUCUGUGUGUCACAUAUAGACUUGAAAAUACUGAAUUUGUGGAUGACGUGCUAGCAUCAAGGGGGAGCUUCCCCACGUUGAGGAUAUCUAUGAAACUCAGAGGUGGACCAAUUUUGCUAAUCUCAAGGGUCUUUUUGAUCUUAUUAAGAAUUAUCUUUCUACAUCAUCAUCCCAUCCUUCUUGUUCUUCUCUGUGCUAAUCACUCUUACCCUUCCUAUUCCAUUUUUAACGACAAGAUCUUGCUUUUACCUUUUCGUUUUAUUACAUUUGUGGUGUAAAUGUUUUCAUUAAUGCUAUUGUUUGUUUUUAGUUUCUUGUUA